CUGUAUUUUUAUAUUUAGCUUUGUUUAUUAUUAUUAUUUCCUCUGUUCAUGUCGAAAACUAGCUUUAGCAUUAGCUCAUCGUAGCUCUUCCUUGUUCGCUAUAUGUACAACUGUUAUUAGUUAAACUGCGUAACGACAUUAACUUUUAUUCCCACACUUGGAUUUAAUAGAUUUUAAUAAGAAGGAUUAUAAUAGGGGUAUUUUAACAUACAGCUAUUUAAAACCACGGUUGUCGCUACAUAAUGUCGUGUAUUAUAGAGUUACAAAGGGGCGGAAAGUUUCGGUAAACUUACUGAAACUUUCAACGGGAACUUAAUCUGGUACUUAAUCUUAAUUUAUGGGAAUUAUUUGUAACUAUAGGGAAAUGUAUAUAAACUAUAUGAUAUAGAAACAUAAAUAAACAUGUUGUUUGGUCAUAAGCAGACAUGAAUACAAGGCAGAGGCAGUUCUAGGCCUUCUUUAGGGUGUCUCCAGCCCCCUGUGUGUGAUCUCAGUCACUCUAAAACUAUAAGGAGCAUUUUUACUUUCAGAAAUAAACAAUAAAAAUGACGUUAAAAUGCAGGACGUGUCGUCGAUGGGAAAGAAAAUUAUUUAUCAGUUUGAUCCAAGAGCGAUUUUUUUUACUUUGCUUUUACGUGCGUGUGUUGUAGUGUUUUAAAAGUGCGUCAUCAGCUGUCUGCUUUAUUAAAAUGGAGAAGCACGGGAACGCGCAGCGUGCACGCGCAGUCAGAGCUGGAGGCGUUUAUUUAUAACGUUAAUCGGCGGAAAGCCGCAAAGACGCCAACCAAAAGCAGUGAAAUGUCACUAUUCUUAUUACCAGAGUUGUAGCACAAACUAAAUAUUAAUGCAAACAAUCCAUUUAAUACUAAAUAAAAAAUAACAUUUUAAAUAAUACCAUAACUUUUGGCUUACUAUGUAGUCAUAUAAUAUAUAAUAUAAAACUCUUCUUGUUUUAAAUUCUCACUGAGGGAUAAAACCCCUAAAGAUGAAACCCUAGAACUGCCCCUGAUGCAAAGUAAUACAAAUUUAAAAAAUGACGUCUUGACUGAUUUAAUUGUAAGUAGAACUUUGAUUCUUUCAUUGAGUAACACAAAAGCAUAAUAAACAUUAUUAUGCUUGUUAUAAACUUAAUAAUUGUAAUAAACAUUAUUUCCCUAUGAUUGCUGUAAAAUGAAACCAUCCCCCACCCCUUGCCCCUCUAAAAAAGUCCAAAUUAAAAUGUAAAAUGAAAAUAAUAAUAAUAAUAAUAAUAAUAAUAAUAAUAAUAAUAAUAAGUUUAUUUUAUAUAGCACCUUUCAACAGUCUCAAGGACUCUUUACAUGAUGUGAUAUACAAUGAAACAGAAUUAAGGAGGUUUAGUAAACAUCACUAUACGUAUACACAACAUACACAUACACCAUAGAAAAGGAAACACAACAUCAAAACAUCCCAAUCAACAAACAUGUACAUUACAGCAACAAACAUUCUAGUAGACAAUACAGAAGAGACAAAUAGAGACACAAAACCAUGUCAAUGGACUUGAGAAUUUGAAUAACAGGAAGUGAACAGAUAAGUUUUCAGAUUAGUUUUGAAAUCCUGUAAAGACGCCAGGUCUCGAAUGUUCUGGGGAGAGAAGUCCAGAGGCUGGGAGCCACAAUACAGAAGGUUCUACCACCAAAAGACUUCAGCCUAUAAUGAGGAACCUCUAAUAAAUUAGAGUCAGAGGACCUAAGUGCAGGGGCAGGGGUAUAUGUGUGAAGGAGAUCUGUGGUAUAUUGUGGACAGGAGCGAUGGAGAGCUUUAAAUGUAGUGAGGAGAACUUUAUAUUGAACACAGAAACUAAGCCACCGUGCCCCCAGAAGUUGAUAGUAAACCAUAAAAAAGUGCAUUACAGUAAUCUAGACAGGAGGUAAUGAAAGCAUGGACAAGGGUCUCGGCAUCAUUGAUAUUUAAACUUGGGCGUAAUCGGGCAAUAUUUUGUAGAUGAAAGAAGGCAGAUUUGGUGAGAGAUGAGAUGUGAGAGGAGAAAGACAGAAGAAUCAAACACUAUGCCCAGGUUUUUGAUAGUGGUUGGGGGUUUUACAUGACAGCCAGUGAUAUUAAUUUUAUCAAUAUUAAGAGAUGAAGUACAUUUAGGAGGGCCGACUAAGAGCAGAUCUGUUUUAUCUGUCUUUAGUUUGAGGAAGUUCUUGGUCAUUAAUAUGUUUAUUUUAUUGAUACAAGGAGUUAUAACAUCUAUGGGAAAGGGAUCAGUGUGUUUAAAGCUCAUGUAUAGUUGUGUGCCAUCCGUGUACAAGUUAUAACUAAGCCCAUAACGAUGGAUAAUGUGACCUAAUGGAAGCAUAUAAAUAAUAAUAAGGGAAGGCCCAAGAACAGAUCAGGGUUAGGGUUAGGUCUCAAUGGCUUCUUCCUGGACCUCAUCAACAUCCUCCAUGUCCACUUCCCCAACAUUUGACUCAUCUUCAUCUUCAGUGUCACUGUCUAGCCUUGUUGAGGAUGGCUCUUUGUCAGACUCAGAGAGCCGUAGGUUUGCUCGGAUGGCCACCGGUUUUUCAACCCUCGCAUUUGUGAGCCUGUUGUGAACCUUUGUGUGUGUUCUCAAACGGUGAGCAGUUACGCUCAGAGGCAGCAGAUGUUGGUGGGAUUUGAAGGAUGAUGGAGGCUACCGGUGCAAGGGCCUCAGAUCCACAAAGUCCCUUCCACCAGGAAGAUGCAAGUACAUGCUGGCAAGACUGCCAUAUCCCAUCCCCUUCACAAAGGCCUUGUUUGGUAAGGUACUUUGCCAGACUGCCAAGAACGUUUCCUUUAUCAAGACCCAGAUGAACUCUUGGUGCUUCUCCAUUGAUUUGACCAGUGCAGUUUCCUCUGCUUGGAGCAGCAGGGAAGCAGGUAGGACAGUAUGAAUUUCUUGUUUGAGCUCAGCAUCUGACAUUUAACAUCUGACAAGAUGGCAUUAUCACCUUCAAUCUCUGCAAUAGCUGCUGUUAUUGGUUUGAGGAUUCUCAGGCUGCUGGACACCCUUUCCCAGAACACAUCAUCCAACAGGAUUCUUUUGAUGGGACUUUCAAUGACUGCAGUCUGGGAUAUGACCAUCUCUUGCAAAGACCCGUUCCCUCUAGCAGACUGUCGUACAUGAUGACAACCCCACCCCAUCGAGUGAUGCUGGGGAGCUUCAGUGUGGUGUUCUUUUUUUUCUUUUUGCUUAGAGAAGUAGAUUGCUGAAGCUACCUGUUUGCCCUUGACAUAUUUCACCACUUGUUCUGCUGUCUUGUAAAGUGUGUCCAUUACUGGUUGAGGGGUGGUGACGAUGUAGUCGAUGAUUCCUUGCCCCUGGACUUUUGACCACUCAUCACCGAUGACUGAAAUCUGCUUUGUCAGUGGUUUGCUUGACUUUUGCUUGCACUCUGUUGAACUCAGUAUCCAGCAAAUGAGUAGAUAAAGCAUGUCUGGUGGGAGGUGUGUAUGUGGGGAGAAGAACAUUCAGAAAUCUCUUCCAGUAGACAUUAGCUGUGAGCAUCAGAGGUGAGCCAGUAGCAUACAUUGCUCGAGCAAAACAUUCAUCAACAUUUCUCUGGCUACGAUCAUCCAUUGUGUCAAAUCCUCUGAUUCAGAUUCAGACGCCCUCUCGUCAGCUCCUAGUCACUCUUGAAUCAUUUUCACUGUGAAUGGAAGCAGAUGAACUCUUGCCUGGGGCUGUUUGUUUGGAGCCCUGGGGAAACUUUGGGCACUUGGCUAUAUGAUUCUGCAUCUUUGUGACAGUCUUAACACAGGUGUUUGUACAGUAUUUGUAACUGUACACAGCCUUUCCUUCCACAUUAACUGAGCUGAAAUGUAUCCACACAUGAGAUGGUGUGUGUGGCUUUGUUCUGUAGAUGAUUAGAAAGAAAGCUAGUAAAAACACUUAUGUAAUGCAAUACACAGGUAUAUAAAUAAAUAAACAACUGUAAUAUUCUG